rnacentral:rRNA from 1 species
AAUAUGGCACAAUGGGCGAAAGCCUGAUGCAGCAACGCCGAGAGAGUGAUGAAGGCCUUAGGGUANUAAAGCUCUUUGAUCAGGGANAAUAAUGACAGUACCUGAAAAACAAGCCACGGCUAACUACGUUCCAUCAGCCGCGGUAAUACGCAGGUGGCGAGCGUUGUCCGGAAUUACUGGGCGUAAAGGAUGCGUAGGUGGAUACUUAAGUGGGAUGUGAAAUCCCCGGGCUCAACCCGGGAACUGCAUUCCAAACUGGGUAUCUAGAGUGCAGGAGAGGAAAGCGGAAUUCCUAGUGUAGCGGUGAAAUGCGUAGAUAUUAGGAGGAACACCAGUGGCGAAGGCGGCUUUCUGGACUGUAACUGACACUGAGGCAUGAAAGCGUGGGUAGCAAACAGG